rnacentral:rRNA from 1 species
AACGAACGCUGGCGGCAUGCCUAACACAUGCAAGUCGAACGAGACCUUCGGGUCUAGUGGCGCACGGGUGCGUAACGCGUGGGAAUCUGCCCUUGGGUUCGGAAUAACAGUGAGAAAUUACUGCUAAUACCGGAUGAUGUCGAAAGACCAAAGAUUUAUCGCCCAGGGAUGAGCCCGCGUAGGAUUAGCUAGUUGGUGAG